UACACUCCUGCGGGAGGCAGCAGUGGGGAAUUUUGGACAAUGGGCGAAAGCCUGAUCCAGCAAUGCCGCGUGAGUGAAGAAGGCCUUCGGGUUGUAAAGCUCUUUUGUCAGGGAAGAAACGGUGAAAGCUAAUAUCUUUUGCUAAUGACGGUACCUGAAGAAUAAGCACCGGCUAACUACGUGCCAGCAGCCGCGGUAAUACGUAGGGUGCAAGCGUUAAUCGGAAUUACUGGGCGUAAAGCGUGCGCAGGCGGUUUUGUAAGUCUGAUGUGAAAUCCCCGGGCUGAACCUGGGAAUUGCAUUGGAGAAUGAAAGGCUAGGAUCUGGCAGAGGGGGGUAGAAUUCAACGUGUAGCAGUGAAAUGCGUAGGUAUGUGGAGGAACACCGAUGGCGAAGGCAGCCCCCUGGGUCAAGAUUGACGCUCAUGCACGAAAGCGUGGGGAGCAAACAGGAUUAGAUACCCUAGUAGUCCCA
rnacentral:rRNA from 1 species